rnacentral:rRNA from 1 species
UCCGGGGGGAGCAAGCGUUGUUCGGAUUUACUGGGCGGAAAGGGCGCGUAGGCGGCGCAACAAGUCACUUGUGAAAUCUCCGGGCUUAACCCGGAGCGGCCAAGUGAUACUGUCGUGCUAGAGUGCGGAAGGGGCUACUGGAAUUCUCGGUGUAGCGGUGAAAUGCGUAGAUAUCGAGAGGAACACCUGCGGCGAAGGCGGGUAGCUGGGCCGACACUGACGCUGAUGCGCGAAAGCCAGGGGAGCGAACGGG